rnacentral:rRNA from 1 species
UGGGGAAUAUUGGACAAUGGGCGAAAGCCUGAUCCAGCCAUGCCGCGUGUGUGAAGAAGGUCUUCGGAUUGUAAAGCACUUUAAGUUGGGAGGAAGGGCAUUAACCUAAUACGUUAGUGUUUUGACGUUACCGACAGAAUAAGCACCGGCUAACUCUGUGCCAGCAGCCGCGGUAAUACAGAGGGUGCAAGCGUUAAUCGGAAUUACUGGGCGUAAAGCGCGCGUAGGUGGUUUGUUAAGUUGGAUGUGAAAUCCCCGGGCUCAACCUGGGAACUGCAUUCAAAACUGACUGACUAGAGUAUGGUAGAGGGUGGUGGAAUUUCCUGUGUAGCGGUGAACGCGUAGAUAUAGGAAGGAACACCAGUGGCGAAGGCGACCACCUGGACUAAUACUGACACUGAGGUGCGAAAGCGUGGGGAGCAAACA